rnacentral:rRNA from 1 species
AGAGUUUGAUCCUGGCUCAGAACGAACGCUGGCGGCAUGCCUAACACAUGCAAGUCGAACGAAGGCUUCGGCCUUAGUGGCGCACGGGUGCGUAACGCGUGGGAACCUGCCCCUCGGUUCGGAAUAACACAGAGAAAUUUGUGCUAAUACCGGAUGAUGACUUCGGUCCAAAGAUUUAUCGCCGAGGGAUGGGCCCGCGUAGGAUUAGCUUGUUGGUGGGGUAAUGGCCUACCAAGGCGACGAUCCUUAGCUGGUCUGAGAGGGUGAUCAGCCACACUGGGACUGAGACACGGCCCAGACUCCUACGGGAGGCAGCAGUGGGGAAUAUUGGACAAUGGGCGAAAGCCUGAUCCAGCAAUGCCGCGUGAGUGAUGAAGGCCUUAGGGUUGUAAAGCUCUUUUACCCGGGAUGAUAAUGACAGUACCGGGAGAAUAAGCUCCGGCUAACUCCGUGCCAGCAGCCGCGGUAAUACGGAGGGAGCUAGCGUUGUUCGGAAUUACUGGGCGUAAAGCGCACGUAGGCGGCUAUUCAAGUCGGGGGUGAAAGCCCGGGGCUCAACCCCGGAACUGCCCUCGAAACUAGAUAGCUAGAAUCUUGGAGAGGCGAGUGGAAUUCCGAGUGUAGCGGUGGAAUGCGCAGAUAUCUGGAGGAACACCAGUGGCGAAGGCGGCCUCCUGGACCAUUCCUGACACUCAGACGCGAAAGCUAGGGUAGCAAACGGGAUUAGAGACCCCGGUAGUCCUAGCCCUAAACGAUGUAGACUAGGCGUCGGUGGUUUAAUCACCAUCGGUGUCCAAGCUAACGCGAUAAGUCUACUGCCUGGGGACUACGGCCGCAAGGUUAAAACUCAAAGGAAUUGACGGGUCCCCGCACAAGCAGCGGAGCGUGUGGUUUAAUUCGUUGCUACACGAAGAACCUUACCUGGGUUUGACAUAGCAGUGGUAGGGAAGCGAAAGCGGACCGACCCUUCGGGGAGCUGUUACAGGUGUUGCAUGGCUGUCGUCAGCUCGUGCCGUGAGAUGUUCGGUUAAGUCCGCUAACGAGCGCAACCCGCGUUGUGUGUUACAAGUGUCACACAAUACCGCCGGUAUUAAGUCGGAGGAAGGUGCGGAUGACGUCAAGUCAGCAUGACCUUUAUAUCCAGGGCUACACACACGCUACAAUGGUCAGCACAAUAGGUUGCCAAGUCGUGAGACGGAGCCAAUCCUCCAAAGCUGGCCUCAGUUCAGAUUGUAGGCUGCAACCCGCCUGCAUGAAGUUGGAGUUGCUAGUAACCGCAGGUCAGCUAUACUGCGGUGAAUACGUUCCCGGGGAUUGUACACACCGCCCGUCAAGUCAUGGGAGCUGGCAACACCUGAAGCCGGUAUCCUAACCCGCAAGGGAGGGAGCUGUCGAAGGUGGGGUCGGUGACUGGGACUAAGUCGUAACAAGGUAACC